rnacentral:rRNA from 1 species
AGGCCGCAGCAACGCCGCGUGUGUGAUGAAGGCUUUCGGGUUGUAAAGCACUUUUGUCCGGGAAGAAAUGCUAGAUUAGGGAAUGAUUCUAGUUUGACGGUACCGUACCAAAAAGGAGCGGCUAAAAACGUGCCAGCAGCCGCGGUAAUACGUAUGUCCCGAGCGUUAUUCGGAUUUAUUGGGCGUAAAGCGAGCGCAGGCGGUUGAUCAAGUCUGAUGUGAAAUCCCGGAGCUCAACUCCGGAAUGGCAUUGGAAACUCAUUAACUUGAGUGUUCAGAGGUAAGUGGAACUCCACGUGUAGCGGUGGAAUGCGUAGAUAUAUGGAAGAACACCAGUGGCGAAGCAGGCUUACUGGAAUAACAACUAAGGUCAGCAGACGAGUGAACG